CCCGUGGUUAAUGAGGCCAGUCUCAUUUGGACCAAGGCCUCAAGAGAAGCAUCAUGCUCCUCUUUUUGCUUGGCAAGAGCCCGUUCCACGUCCUUAGAGGUGAAGGACCUGACUUCCGUGGAAGUCCCGUCCCUCUCCACUGGAGCUACAGUAAUGGGAGUCCCGUCCAUCUCGCUCUAGGGCGGUUAAGCCACAAGAAUAGAGCACGAGGCUCUGAUACCAAUUGAAAAGGAUCGAUAUGGACCUAGAGGGGGGGUGAAUAGGUACAGUUCCAAAUUUUAAUAGUUACUUAGCAAUGUUAGGCAAUUGUGAGGAAGAUGAGAGUGAGCCUAAUAAUUGCAAAGCCAAAGAGUAAGCUAUUUAGAGUAAAGUAAGGCAACCGGUAAAC
rnacentral:lncRNA from 1 species